ACACAAAUCCCUAAUCAAAAAUUCUCUCUUCCCUCUCUCGGCGGUAUCGCCGCUUCACCUGUCGCCGGAGUGCCAUCGCCGCCGCUGCUUCAUCUCCCUCUCUUUCUUUCUUAGUGGUAUCGCCGCCAUCCGCCCCGCCUCGCGGUCGCCGCCUCGACACCCAAAAGAAACCUCGCCGCCGCUACCUACUAAUCGCCGAUCUCUGGGCUCGCACGACCGUGAGCGAGCCUCUGUCGGAGAUGUCGAGCCGCCAUCGGAAAAGAGGAGGAGCCUUGGCGAUUCCGGCAGCAGAGAGGAGGCAUCGCCUCCUUCUCCCUCUCUCGGCCGUGGCUUGUAGCUGCUCCGCCGAGCUCCUCAGAGUCCCGCCGUUAUCGGUUAACUCUACAAUUAAGCUAAGUUCCUUAUCCUACUACUUGUUUCGCUUGUGGUUUUUAAUUCGGCAGUAGCCAAAUAGUUUUGAAAAUUGGGAUGUUGGCUUUCAUAGAAGAGCUACUGCAGUUCCUACAUUUCUUGUGGAAAUCUGAGUUCCUAGUUCUGGCAGUCAUGAUUUCUAUGUGAAACUUGAUUGUUGAGCAUGAUUAUUCGAACAAAAGCAGGGGUGUGUUUGUGUUAUGUUGAUUGUGGUUCUUAAGUUGUGGUGACUCUAUAUGAUGACAUGAGAAUCGAUUGGAAGAAAAAAAAAGUGGGGUGUAUUACCUCUGGGAAAACGAUGGAGUGGCUGUCCUAGCUGUUGUUCACUACUUGCUCCACUCUCUACUCUCUGUUUUUGCUGAAAUUUUGAAGUGUGUGUGAAAGGGAGUUGAAUGGGGUGUGGAGGGAAUUUUAUAGGCUGAUUGUGGUGUACUUGUGAGGCCUUAAAUGGCUGUUGUAUCACUUGUUGUUAUGCUGCAGAAUAUCUCACUUUUAGUGAUCCCAUUGUCUCUCCUCCAUGGCUGCAAAACUUGUAUUUUAUGGGUACCUAGUACUAGUUAUUAAUUGGGGUUGUUUGAUUGCAGAGAGGCAGGGUUUGUUGUGCCAAGGGGCUGCAUUAGUGAAGAGUUUUGCAGGCUGGAAAUCCCCUUUUUGGGCAAGUUCUUGGUCUUCAAGGAAAAAGGAAGGUGAGAGGAAAACUUAGCUCCCAUCCGGCUGCACUUCGAGUGGGCUCAGUUUCGCCGACUGGCCGACGGGCUGCCCGAAACGGGCCCUAAUCGGGCCUGGAGAAAAAAAGGCCGAAAAGCACUCCACAUUUUAUAUAUUUUUCCUUCCAUGAUUUUCUUUCUUUGGGGACUUAAUCCGUGUAAUCUAUUUCAUUAGUUGUUCAUUAAU